rnacentral:rRNA from 1 species
AACGAACGCUGGCGGCAUGCCUAACACAUGCAAGUCGAACGAGACCUUCGGGUCUAGUGGCGCACGGGUGCGUAACGCGUGGGAACCUGCCCUUAGGUUCGGAAUAACUCCCCGAAAGGGGUGCUAAUACCGGUUAAUGUCUUCGGACCAAAGAUUUAUCGCCUUUGGAUGGGCCCGCGUUGGAUUAGCUAGUUGGUAGGGUAAAAGCCUACCAAGGCGACGAUCCAUAGCUGGUCUGAGAGGAUGAUCAGCCACACUGGGACUGAGACACGGCCCAGACUCCUACGGGGGGGAGCAGUGGGGAAUAUUAGGCGAGGGGCGAAAGCCUGAUCAAGCAAUGCCGCGGGAGAGAUGAAGGCCUUAGGGUUGUAAAGCUCUUUUACCCGGGAUGAUAAUGACAGUACCGGGAGAAUAAGCACCGGCUAACUACGUG